rnacentral:rRNA from 1 species
GCUCAGUAACACGUGGAUAACCUGCCCUUGGGACCGGGAUNNCCCCGGGAAACUGAAAAUAAUACCGGAUAACGCAUAUCUGCUGGAAUGCUUUAUGCGUAAAAUGGAUUUGUCUGCCCAAGGAUGGGUCUGCGGCCUAUCGAGGUAGUAGUGGGUGUANUGUACCUACUAGCCUACGACGGGUACGGGUUGUGAGAGCAAGAGCCCGGAGAUGGAUUCUGAGACANGAAUCCAGGCCCUACGGGG